ACGGAAGGCAGCAGUGAGGAAUAUUGGUCAAUGGACGAGAGUCUGAACCAGCCAAGUAGCGUGAAGGAAGACUGCCCUAUGGGUUGUAAACUUCUUUUGUUUGGGAAUAAAGUGAGCCACGUGUGGCUUUUUGUAUGUACCUUACGAAUAAGCAUCGGCUAAUUCCGUGCCAGCAGCCGCGGUAAUACGGAAGAUGCGAGCGUUAUCCGGAUUUAUUGGGUUUAAAGGGAGCGUAGGCGGGUUUUUAAGUCAGCGGUCAAAUGUCAGGGCCCAACCUUGGCAUGCCGUUGAAACUGGAGACCUUGAAUACACACAAGGAAGGUGGAAUUCGCCGUGUAGCGGUGAAAUGCUUAGAUAUGGCGAAGAACUCCGAUUGCGAAGGCAGCCUUCUGGGGUGCGAUUGACGCUGAGGCUCGAAAGUGCGGGAAUCAAACAGGAUUAGAUACCCUGGUA
rnacentral:rRNA from 1 species